ensembl:lncRNA
GGGAGUUCCAAGAAUACAGGAGUUGGAGUGAAUAGAACUGGUUUCUAAUCUGAGGUAUCUGCUUUCUUCACUCUUGUGGCAUGGGCCCAUCCCUUUUAUUAGCAAUGGGUACUCUCUCCUGUCUAAAUUGGGGAAGAUAAAGCUUGUCUGGCUAAUUUCACAAGUUCUGGUGAGAAUGAAGAUAGAAAAAGGAUGUGAAAGUGAUUUAUAAAUUGAAAGUCUCUGUGUGCUCUCUCCUGCCUUUGAUCCUGGGCCUGGAAAUCGGCUGUAUGCACAUGAGCGACCAGAGGGCUGAGAUCUCUGUUGCCGUCCAGAGUGAAGGAGGAAAUGUCGCAGGAGACCAGUCCUAGGGUCUGAGAGCCUCAAUUCCUGCUGUCACAGUGGUCAGGAAAGUACUUGUGACAUCUGGCCUUCUGUAUCCCAUCUUUUUAGCUCCAGGAGGCUUAUUCCCGGAGCUGUGUGUGUGUGUGCAUCCUGAUAUUCCCUGUAAAAGUGUUGUGUUGAUGAUAAAUAGUAACUGAUUACAUAAUCUCCCAGGAAUGGAUUACAGAGGUUGUGUGGGGGAGAGCAAGGCUCUCCAUAUUGUGCCACUCAGGAUCCUCUCGGGUCCCUGCUGCCUCCAGGAUGCUUUCUAAACCUUGGGAACUGACACAAAGCUAGGAACAGGACCUGGCAAAAACUGGCACUGGGUAAAUAUUGUUUAUGCUUGUGUCUAAGACAUGGCUGGCUCCUCUGCCCCACCUCUUCCAGUAUAGUGAAGCCCCCUCUUCCUUCUCUUGGACACCUCUGCUGUAGCCAAGCACACUGCCCACCUUCCUCCACUGCCCUGACUCCGACCCCUCCAUGCCUUGUUUGAGCACCCUUCCUGACGGACGUGGUUGACUGAUGCCCUUUCUGUCUGUUGCUUACAUCUUCUCCUUUGAAGUAUUCCUUCCUUCCUUUUCUAACCUUCAUCCAUACGAACUUCCUUUUCUCUCUGCUUCCCAAAGAACUUACCUCUCUCAUCUUAAGUACACUACUGGUCUCCCUCACUCAAGUAUAAACUUCUUGAAGGCAGGACCCAUUUCAUCCCUCCCUGCCUUCUCCAGUGAUCCUGGCCAAAGCCUAAGCGUGUGGCUGCUACCCAAACAGGCUCUCUGGCUUGAACUGAAUCUCUGGUCACCUUCUCUUCUAGCCUGACAGGGAGGGAAUAUGUGUCCUCACUCUUUUCUCCUGCAGAAGCUGAGUUAGGAAUUAUUUCUAUCCUCAUCUCUGACCUAAAUCUACUCAAGUCUGCCCUGACAAUGGCACCCACAGAUGAUGGGGUAAGCAAAAAUAGCCCCCAGAUCUGAGUAACAUAGCAGCCCAUGCUCACUUCUCCAGGCCCCUGCUCAGCCCUGGAAAUUUACAGGCAUGUUUAGCUGUGCUAUUGCUGAGCCAGCUCGAAACCUGUUCUGCUUGAGGCUUCUUCGCCUCAGCAGGUAUGUCAAGGUGUGAUGAGUAUUGCCAACUGGGACAGGAGGGCACCCAGCUCAUGCCCAGGCUUUAUUUGUCCCAGUGCAGCAGGGCUCCAUGGGCUUUAUGACCCUUAAUCAUGAACCUGGGAGCCCUUUGUGUUCUCUCAAGCAGUCAAGCCAAGAAGCCUUUCUGAUUUCAUUGACAAUAACCAGGCGUGAUUUAUGAACUCGCAGAACCUGGAACAUUAG